rnacentral:rRNA from 1 species
AUUGAACGCUGGCGGCAGGCCUAACACAUGCAAGUCGAACGAGUGGCGGACGGGUGAGUAAUAUCUGGGAAACUGCCCUAUUGAGGGGGAUAACUACUCGAAAGAGUAGCUAAUACCGCAUACCAUUAGAUGUGCCCAUAUCGGAUUAGCUAGUUGGUGGGGUAACGGCUCACCAAGGCGACGAUCCCUAGCUGGUCUGAGAGGACGACCAGCAACACUGGGACUGAGACACGGUCCAGACUCCUACGGUAGGCAGCAGUGGGGAAUAUUGCACAAUGGGCGAAAGCCUGAUGCAGCCAUGCCGCGUGUAUGAAGAAGGGCUUCGGGUUGUAAAGUACUUUCAGCGGGGAGGCGGUAUCCGCAGAAGAAGCACCGGCUAACUACGUGCCAGCCGCCGCGGUAAUAC